rnacentral:ncRNA from 1 species
AUAAAGUUUUAUUUUGGCUUAAAAAUUUAUUGUUAAAUUAUUUUAUAUGUAAAUUUUUGUAUGAAUAUUUAAUUAUUUUAAAAAUGAUUAAAAUUAUAUUUAUUCGCAGUAAUUAAUAUUAUUAAUUAAAGAAAUUUAGAAAAAGUAAUUUUAUUUAGUAUUGGUUAAAUUUGUGCCAGCAUCCGCGGUUAUACAAAUAAUACAAGUAAAUUUUUUAAGGUUUAGUUAAAUGUGAUUAAUUUAUUUAUUUUAAAAUAAAUUUAUUAGGUGAAAUUUAUAAAUUUAUAAAAAAUUUAUUUAAUUAGAUUGAGUCUAAAAAAUUUUUAUUAAAAACUAGGAUUAGAUACCCUAUUAUUAAAAAUGUAAAUUUUAAAUCUAAGGUAGUAAUAGUUAUGAUCUUGAAACUUAAAAAAUUUGGCGGUAUUUUAGUCUAUUCAGAGGAACCUGUUUUAUAAUCGAUAAUCCACGUUGGACCUUACUUAAGUUUGUUAAUCAAUUUAUAUACCGUCGUUAUAAGAAUAUUUUAAAAGAAUAAUAAUUUUCAAGAAUUUUUAUAUAAUUUAUAUCAGAUCAAGGUGUAGUUUAUAUUUAAGUAAAAAUGGGUUACAAUUUAAUUAUAAUUGAAUUUAAAUAUGAAAAAUUUAAUGAAAUUGGAUUUGAAUGUAAAAUUAUAUAGAUUAAUAAUUUGAUUUUAGCUCUAAAAUAUGUACACAUCGCCCGUCGCUCUUAUUAUUAAAGUAAGAUAAGUCGUAACAUAGUAGAUGUACUGGAAAGUGUAUCUAGAAUG